GAUGAACGCUGGCGGCGUGCCUAAUACAUGCAAGUCGAGCGAACAGAUGAGGAGCUUGCUCCUCUGACGUUAGCGGCGGACGGGUGAGUAACACGUGGAUAACCUACCUAUAAGACUGGGAUAACUUCGGGAAACCGGAGCUAAUACCGGAUAAUAUAUUGAACCGCAUGGUUCAAUAGUGAAAGACGGUUUUGCUGUCACUUAUAGAUGGAUCCCCGCCGCAUUAGCUAGUUGGUAAGGUAACGGCUUACCAAGGCAACGGUGCGUAGCCGACCUGAGCGGGAGAUCGGCCACACUGGAACUGAGACACGGUCCAGACUCCUACGGGAGGCAGCAGUAGGGAAUCUUCCGCAAUGGGCGAAAGCCUGACGGAGCAACGCCGCGUGAGUGAUGAAGGUCUUCGGAUCGUAAAACUCUGUUAUUAGGGAAGAACAAAUGUGUAAGUAACUAUGCACGUCUUGACGGUACCUAAUCAGAAAGCCACGGCUAACUACGUG
rnacentral:rRNA from 1 species